GACUGAAAUUAGUCAAUAAUUUUAGGGUCUUGGGUCCAAUCGCCGAAUUUUCGGUAUGAAAUAUCUCGCAGACUCAGAUUAGUCUCCUCGUCGCCGCCUUUAGAGCCACAAGUGUCAAACACGCGGAGAGAGAGGAGAAGAGAGGGAUAGGUGGGUUUCUUCUCGUCAUUCGGCAGAGGUGCAUUUCUUCUUGUAAUUGUGAUACAUCUGUUGGCGAGACAUCAAAUCUCUCAAUUGUAUGGAAAAGAUGGGAGCGACUAAUUCCGAACUGGAAGAAUUGUUUGAAGGGAAGAAGCGCGUAAAGAACCCUUUCGUCCCCAUUGCACAACAGAGAAUACCUUGCAACCACUUUAGAAUUAACAGCUGCUUAUGAUGGAGCUAAAUCAAUAAGAUCACCAUUAUCAAAAACAUGGUGCGCUUCUCACUGCAGGAGUGCUCACAGCAGGGCUAAUUAGUUUCAGACAGGGGAAUUCUCA